rnacentral:rRNA from 1 species
ACGAACGCUGGCGGCGUGCUUAACCCCUGCAAGUCGCACGGAAAGGCCCUGCUUUUGUGGGGUGCUCGCGUGGCGAACGGGUGAGUAACACGUGAGUCACCUGCCCUUGACUUUGGGAUAACUUCAGGAAACUGGGGCUACUACCGGAUCGGAGCUCCUGCUGCAUGGUGGGGGCUGGUAAGUUUCGGCGGUUGGGGAUGGACUCGCGGCUUAUCAGCUUGUUGGUGGGGUAGUGGCUUACCAAGGCUUUGACGGGUAGCCGGCCUGGGAGGGUGACCGGCCACAUUGGGACUGAGAUACGGCCCAGACUCCUACGGGAGGCAGCAGUGGGGAAUAUUGCACAAUGGGCGGAAGCCUGAUGCAGCAACGCCGCGUGCGGGAUAACGGCCUUCGGGUUGUAAACCGCUUUCGCCUGUGACGAAGCGUGAGUGACGGUAAUGGGUAAAGAAGCACCGGCUAACUACGUG